rnacentral:misc_RNA from 1 species
GUAGGUGAACCUGCGGAAGGAUCAUUAACAAGAAAGUUGUUCUCUUUCGAGAGCUUCUUUUUUCCAACCCCAAACUUUACGUGAACCUAUGGGUAGGGGGAGUCGCUUUUGAGGCUCUCUGCUCCCAUUUUUUUAAACCCCUUUUUUGAACUAACAACUUUUUUUUACUUUCAGGUUUUUUAAACUUGAAAAGAAAAAUUUUAAAUAAGAACAACUCUUAACAACGGAUAUCUUGGUUCUCGCAUCGAUG